rnacentral:lncRNA from 1 species
AUCGUAUAAUUAAAACCUAUCCCAUCCUUUACAGAGAGUUAUUUCACACACACUAUUCCGUUUAAAAUUGUAAUACCUAACUCCACGAACUGAACAAACUUUCAAUACAGUUAUAAACGGCUGUGCUAUGGUUCCCUGCAUGUGCGUUUGUUUUGGAACAGAUGAAUGAUGAAUGAUGUGAACGAGUAGAUAAGCUAUGAAUGUUUUGAGCAUAUGUACCCUUAUCUCAACAUUCAUAACUCAUCCAUUCGUUCCCACCCAACCGAACAAGAAAUUCGCACCUAAAAUCCUGCUCCGAUUAGUUCCGGCAUGGAAAGCUUGUAAACAUGCUUAACCUCUUUUCGUCCGCCC